rnacentral:rRNA from 1 species
UGUCUAUUAACUGUAGACCAGCAUGAAAGGCAAAAUGAGGGUCUAACUGUCUCUUAUAAUAAAUCAAUUAAACUGAUCUCCUAGUAAAAAAGCUAGAAUAACCACAUAAGACCAGAAGACCCUGUGAAGCUUAAACUAAACUAUUAAACCAAAUAAUAGCUACUUUCGGUUGGGGCGACCUUGGAAAAAAAAAGAACUUCCAAAUAACAUGACUAUAACCCAUACCUUUAGGCCCACAAGCCUCUAAAUGACCCAGUAUAACUGAUAACUGAACCAAGUUACUCCAGGGAUAACAGCGCCAUCUUCUUCAAGAGCCCAUAUCAAAAAGAAGGUUUACGACCUCGAUGUUGGAUCAGGACAUCCUAAUGGUGUA